rnacentral:lncRNA from 1 species
GUUUAGGGCUUGUUUGGCCCGACUCGAGCUUCUUAGUUUUGCUGUUUGAGUUAGGCUUAGUUUGGUAUUGAGGUCUAUCUAACACUAUUAGAUAAAAUAGAGUUGAGGAAAAAGCAUAUAGGGAUAUCCUUCUGCGUUCUCCGGUGGGACCGUAGAAAAUAUAUCGUAACCGACUCAUCGCUAUAUGCGGAGCGCAAUAUUACGUACGGGAACAAACAGAGUAUUUUCCCAUCGUCGUUUCUCAUCGCACGUAACGCAAUCUCUCCGCAAUUCCAAAUGAAGCCUUAUUCGAAGAAGCAUUACUGACUUUUUCGUGGAAAUCAUCGCACAAGC